AAGGGAAAGUUGAGAGGAUCGGCUCCUAGUACGAGAGGACCAGAGUGGACUUAGCGCGGGUGUACCAGAUGUCAUGCCAAAGGCAUCGCUGGGUAGCUAUGUAGGGAAGGGAUAAGCGCUGAAAGCAUCUAAGUGCGAAGCCCACCUCAAGAUGAGAUUUCCCAUGAUUUUAUAUCAGUAAGAGCCCUGAGAGAUGAUCAGGUAGAUAGGUUAGGAGUGUAAUUGUGGUGACACAUUUAGCGGACUAAUACUAAUAGCUCGAGGACUUAUCCAAAA
rnacentral:rRNA from 1 species